CUACGGGCUGCUCCAGUGAGGAAUAUUGCACAAUGGGGGAAACCCUGAUGCAGCAACGCCGCGUGGAGGAUGACGCAUUUCGGUGUGUAAACUCCUUUUAUAUGUCAAGAAAAUGACGGUAGCAUAUGAAUAAGCACCGGCUAACUCCGUGCCAGCAGCCGCGGUAAUACGGAGGGUGCAAGCGUUACUCGGAAUCACUGGGCGUAAAGGACGCGUAGGCGGGUUGGUAAGUCAGGUGUGAAAUCCUACAGCUUAACUGUAGAACUGCACUUGAAACUACAACCUAGAGUAUGGGAGGGGGAGAUGGAAUUAGUGGUGUAGGGGUAAAAUCCGUAGAGAUCACUAGGAAUACCGAAAGCGAAGGCGAUCUCCUGGAACAUUACUGACGCUGAGGCGCGAAAGCGUGGGGAGCAAACAGGAUUAGAUACCCGGGUAGUC
rnacentral:rRNA from 1 species